rnacentral:rRNA from 1 species
GUGGGGAAUAUUGGACAAUGGGCGAAAGCCUGAUCCAGCCAUGCCGCGUGUGUGAAGAAGGUCUUCGGAUUGUAAAGCACUUUAAGUUGGGAGGAAGGGUAGUAACCUAAUACGUUGCUACUUUGACGUUACCGACAGAAUAAGCACCGGCUAACUUCGUGCCAGCAGCCGCGGUAAUACGAAGGGUGCAAGCGUUAAUCGGAAUUACUGUGCGUAAAGCGCGCGUAGGUGGUUCAGUAAGUUGGAAGUGAAAUCCCCGGGCUCAACCUGGGAACUGCUUUCAAAACUGCUGAGAUAGAGUACGGUAGAGGGUGGUGGAAUUUCGUGUGUAGCGGUUAAAUGCGUAGAUAUAGGAAGGAACACCAGUGGCGAAGGCGACCACCUGGACUGAUACUGACACUGAGGUGCGAAAGCGUGGGGAGCAAACAGGAUUAGAAACCCGAGUAGUCC